GUCGUAAAGCACUUUUAUGGGGGAAGAUGAUGACGGUACCCCAUGAAUAAGCACCGGCUAACUACGUGCCAGCAGCCGCGGUAAUACGUAGGGUGCGAGCGUUGUUCGGAAUUACUGGGCGUAAAGGGCGUGCAGGCGGAUUGGCAAGCCGGAGGUGAAAGCCCGGGGCUCAACCCCGGAGGGUCUUUCGGAACUGCCAGUCUUGAGAGGGUCAGGGGCCAGCGGAAUUCCUGGUGUAGAGGUGAAAUUCGUAGAGAUCAGGAGGAACACCGGCGGCGAAAGCGGCUGGCUGGGGCCACUCUGACGCUGAGGCGCGAAAGCGUGGGGAGCAAACAGGAUUAGAUACCCUGGUAGUCCACGCCGUAAACGAUGGGCACUAAGCGUCCGACGGGUUCGACCCUGUUGGGUGCUGCAGUUAACGCGUUAAGUGCCCCGCCUGGGGAGUACGGUCGCAAGACUA
rnacentral:rRNA from 1 species